GUCGUAACNAGGUCUCCGUAGGUGAACCUGCGAGGGAUCAUUACACAAAUAUGAAGGCGGGCUGGAACCUCUCGGGGUUACAGCCUUGCUGAAUUAUUCACCCUUGUCUUUUGCGUACUUCUUGUUUCCUUGGUGGGUUCGCCCACCACUAGGACAAACAUAAACCUUUUGUAAUUGCAAUCAGCGUCAGUAACAAAUUAAUAAUUACAACUUUCAACAACGGAUCUCUUGGUUCUGGCAUCGAUGAAGAACGCAGCGAAAUGCGAUAAGUAGUGUGAAUUGCAGAAUUCAGUGAAUCAUCGAAUCUUUGAACGCACAUUGCGCCCUUUGGUAUUCCAAAGGGCAUGCCUGUUCGAGCGUCAUUUGUACCCUCAAGCUUUGCUUGGUGUUGGGCGUCUUGUCUCUAGCUUUGCUGGAGACUCGCCUUAAAGUAAUUGGCAGCCGGCCUACUGGUUUCGGAGCGCAGCACAAGUCGCACUCUCUAUCAGCAAAGGUCUAGCAUCCAUUAAGCCUUUUUUUCAACUUUUGACCUCGGAUCAGGUAGGGAUACCCGCUGAACUUAAGCAUAUCAAUAGCG
rnacentral:rRNA from 1 species